rnacentral:rRNA from 1 species
UACGGGGGGGGCAAGCGUUGUUCGGAAUUACUGGGCGUAAAGGGCUCGUAGGCGGCCACUUAAGUCGGACGUGAAAUCCCCAGGCUCAACCUGGGAACUGCGUCCGAUACUGGAUGGCUUGAAUUCGGGAGAGGGAUGCAGAAUUCCAGGUGUAGCGGUGAAAUGCGUAGAUAUCUGGAGGAACACCGGUGGCGAAGGCGGCGUCCUGGACCAACACUGACACUGAGGAGCGAAAGCCAGGGGAGCAAACGGG